CAAAUGAUUCUUUCAUAUUAUUCAUAUACAGUUUGUACUGUAAACUUGAUACCAGUAAGUUUCAUCUUUUAAAUACAGAACCUGAAUGAAUUUCUAAUUUUAGAUGUCUAAGAGCAUUUUGACGAAAGAACAGCAAGAGUAUCUUAGUAAGGCUUGGGAUGAAGGGAUGACCUCUCUUUCCAAACAUAAUAUUAUAGACAAUGUGAAAAGUGAAACUGGUUUAGAUGAGAAGAUAAUUAAGCGAAAGAGAUGAAAGCAGAUGGGGCUAGUGCAGGUGACAUACAAAAGCAAGGAAGCAUGGCAUACCAAUCAUUAUCGCCAUCUUCCAAGGAGAAGUACGUCGAGAUAGCUGCCACAUGCAAUGAUCGCUCAGCCCAAUGUAGUGAGGUGACUAAAGAGAAGAAAGUUAAAAGAAUAAUUAAAAAUAUUCAUUCAAAUAUGAAACUGUUGGACGAUCUUGGCUGUCCAUCUAUUUGGCUCGGGUAUGGUGCAAAGGCUCCUUAACGACUCUUCUCCCCUCAAAUGAGUGAACUCGCUGAAGACGGCCUAUUUACAAACUACGUUGUAUCAACCAUGAUAAAAAAAGUUGGUGAGUUUUGACCUAUAAACCUGUGUAAUAAAGUCGUGUAAUCAGCAACGUACCGGUACAUGAAUUUGAUGAUGUGGUAACAGCACAUUUACAAGAGGACAUUCCAAGAACAUUUUCAACGUACAUGUACAUGCUAUAUAUACAAGCAAUUUUGA